UGGGGAAUUUUACACAAUGGGGGAAACCCUGAUGUAGCAACGCCGCGUGGAGGAUGACGGAUCUAGGUCUGUAAACUCCUUUUAUAAGGGAAGAAAUUUGACGGUACCUUAUGAAUAAGCACCGGCUAACUCCGUGCCAGCAGCCGCGGUAAUACGGGGGGUGCAAGCGUUACUCGGAAUCACUGGGCGUAAAGGGAGCGUAGGCGUUUUAUUAAGUCUUGAGUGAAAGCUCGCAGCUCAACUGCGGAACUGCUCAGGAAACUGAUAGAAUUGAGUGUGGUAGAGGUAGGUGGAAUUUCCGGUGUUGGGGUAAAAGCCGUAGAUAUCGGAAGGAAUACCAGAAGCGAAGGCGACCUACUGGGACAUUACUGACGCUGAGGCUCGAAAGCGUGGGGAGCAAACA
rnacentral:rRNA from 1 species